rnacentral:lncRNA from 1 species
GUUGUUGUUGUUGUUGUUUGAUUCCGGAAUUGACGUUGGCAACCACCAAACCCCAAUCAAGGUAAUUUUUUAUUGUUCCACUUUCUUGAUUCACAUAAAUUUUUCCUUAUUUAUAAUCGUUAUUUUUGCCUUAAAUUUGAUGUUUUAUUAAAUGUUGAGCUUUAAAUUGGCCUUUGAAAUUAGAAUUGAGUAUUUGUUAUUUGUUAAACAUAGAAUUAAGUAAUUGUUAGACAAUAAUAUAUAUCUGAGUAAUGGUUUUGACUUUCAAAUUUGAAUUGAUUUUUAGAAAUUGUGCACCCUAAACAAUCAUCCGGUGCUCAAAAACAUAAAAAGAGAAAAUCAUCCGAUGCCUCCUAAACAACCAUAGGUUAGCUAUUACGGCAUGUAAUUCUAUUAUUUUAAUACUAUAUUUUUGUUACGUUUAUUGCUAUAAAGUUAAUCGUCAUUUAAAAAAGAAUAGUUUAUAUAAAUCGUUAGGUGAUGUGUAGAAUGUUUAAUCCAAGGACACAAUGUAGCGACUCAAUUACACCCAAUCGUCAAGUGUACCGGUCGUUAUGUUGUCGAGUCAGUAAGACCUGGAUCGAUCCAUGGACACAAUGUAGCAACUCUUGAUACAGAACCUCUAUCGAGUCCUAGUCUAAUGAUGUUUAGUGAAUGAUUGAUUUUAUUAACUACUAAAACUAACUAAGAAUGCAAAUCACAUAAAAAAGUAAUCAAACAACGAUUAUAAGUGAAAUCAAAUGGUGAGAAAGCCGGUACCUAGGCAAAAAUCAUGUUAACUUGCUUACACCUUACGGGAUUGGAUAAUUAGGAUUUGGCUACCGUGAUCUUAAAAUACACUAUCUAGACCUAAACUAGAUGUCAAAUCACUCUCCAAACAUGACGCAAUAUGGUAUGUGGGGAACUCUGUGAACUCACCGGUCUCGGAUUUAGAUAACCUCUCAGUCUUGCUAAACAAAUGCUAAGGCACCCUAAAACUGGAUAUCCACUUGGUCACACCAAAAACAGUACAUCAAGGAUGUGUAAGGGAUGCCAAGGGUAGUAGUUCUAAGAGGUUUCUAGCACAACAUGAUAGCUAUAUAGACAUGGUAGGGGUGGCUCACUCUCAUGCAGACUAUGGUCCCGAAUAUCUAUAAACCUAGACACCCCGACAUCUAAGAUGGUAGAAUGCUAAAUUACCGAAUAGUUAAAUUACUUGUUCUUAUGGUUUACCACAUCUAGUAACCACAAGAUUGUAUCGAAAACACAAUGUCUAUGAAAAUCACUAAACCCUAUAUCAAUUAAUACACAAUCAAUUAACUUGAAUCAAGUGAACAUGCAUUAGCAUCAAAUAUCAAAUACGCAUAUGCAUUAAAAACCUGAUUAAAACACUUUUUACCAAAACAUUAGCAAAAUCAUUGAUUAUCUAAGCUGAAAAUAGUUUAUAAGCUAACAAUCAUUAUAAAACAUUAGAUAAUAUGUGAUGACUGUCGUAAGGGUCAUGCAAAAACCUAUUUAAACUAUUAGUAUAGAAUAAGCAGGGUAUCGAACCAAGGGAGGACUGUGGAAAGUGUCGUAAUGAAAAGGAUCGAUUAACUAUUACUGAAUUGGAAAAUCGGUGUGAUUGAUUAUAAGAAUUAUCUAAAUUA